UGCCGACGAUGUGAUAUGAGAUGUUGUAUUACAUUAUAGAAAUUAGAGUUUUUUGGCUCUGGGGAUAGUAUGAUCGCAAGAUUGAAAAUUAAAGAAAUUGACGGAAGAAUACCACAAGGAGUGGAUUGUGCGGCUUAAUUUGACUCAACGCGAGGUAACUUACCAAUAUUUUAUUGUUCUGCGAGGAUAUGAUCUGAGGAUGAUAAUAGUGGUGCAUGGCCGUUUCAAUGGAUGCUGUGA
rnacentral:rRNA from 1 species